rnacentral:rRNA from 1 species
AGGUAAGAGCUUACCAAGGCGAUGAUCUAUAGCCGAGCUGAGAGGCUGAUCGGCCACAUUGGAACUGAGACACGGUCCAGACUCCUACGGGAGGCAGCAGCUAAGAAUCUUCCGCAAUGGUCGCAAGACUGACGGAGCGACGCCGCGUGAACGAUGAAGGCCCUUCGGGUUGUAAAGUUCUUUUAUAAGAGACGAAUGUUUGAUGCAGGUCAAUCUGACUGUAUCUUAUGAAUAAGGUCCGGCUAACUACGUGCCAGCAGCCGCGGUAAUACGUAGGGACCUAGCGUUGUUCGGAAUUAUUGGGCGUAAAGGGUAUGUAGGCGGUUUAAUAAGUCAGAUGUGAAAUCCUCGGGCUCAACCUGAGGUCUGCGUCUGAUACUGUUAAACUUGAGUUACGGAGAGGAAGACGGAAUUCCCGGUGUAGGGGUGAAAUCUAUAGAUAUCGGGAAGAACACCAGUAGCGAAGGCGGUCUUCUGGACGUUAACUGACGCUAAUGUACGAAAGGUAGGGUAGCAAACAGGAUUAGAGACCCUGGUAGUCCUACCUGUAAACGUUGUAUACUAGGUGGUGGUUGUAUUGAUCCGAUCACUGCCGCAGCAAACGCAUUAAGUAUACCGCCUGGGGAGUAUGCCGGCAACGGUGAAACUCAAAGGAAUUGACGGGGGCCCGCACAAGCAGUGGAGCAUGUUGUUUAAUUCGAUGAUACGCGAGAAACCUUACCAGGUCUUGACAUAUACUCGAAUACCGUAGAGAUACGGUAGUUCUUCGGAACGGGUAUACAGGUGUUGCAUGGUUGUCGUCAGCUCGUGCCGUGAGGUGUUGGGUUAAGUCCCGCAACGAGCGCAACCCCUAUCCUUUGUUGCUAACAAUUCGGUUGAGCACUCUAAGGAGACUGCCGGUGACAAACCGGAGGCAGGUGGGGACGACGUCAAAUCAUCACGGCCCUUACGACCUGGGCUACAAACGUGCUACAAUGGUCGGUACAAAGAGUUGCGAUACAGC